rnacentral:snRNA from 1 species
AUCGCUUCUCGGCCUUUUGGCUAAGAUCAAGUGUAGUAUCUGUUCUUAUCAGUUUAAUAAAUCACAUACAGAAGCAUAUAAAACAAGUACAAUGAAUAAUUAUAAAGUAAGUGCUCAUGUAACCACC